GCCUGGCUGGCUCAGCCGUAGAGCAUGUGACUCUUGAUCUCAGCGUUGUGAGUUCGAGACCCACGCUGGGCG
rnacentral:tRNA from 1 species